AUACGGAGGAUGCAAGCGUUAUCCGGAUUUAUUGGGUUUAAAGGGUGCGUAGGCGGUUUGCUAAGCGGGAGGUGAAAUGCCGGCGCUCAACGUCGGAAGUGCCUCCCGAACUGGUGGACUGGAAUGACUCUGCCGUGGGAGGAAUGUGUAGUGUAGCGGUGAAAUGCUUAGAGAUUACACAGAACACCGAUUGCGAAGGCAUCUAACGAAGGGUUGAUUGACGCUGAGGCACGAAAGCGUGGGGAUCAAACAGGAUUAGAUACCCUGGUAGUCCACGCAGUAAACGAUGAUGGCUAACCGCUGGUUUAUUCGGAUCAGUGGCCAAGCGAAAGCGAUAAGCCAUCCACCUGGGGAGUACGACCGCAAGGUUGAAACUCAAAUGAAUUGGCGGGG
rnacentral:rRNA from 1 species